AUAAUAACGAAGCAGAGGAAGAUCCUUCGUCUUUGACAGCUGUAUCCGGGGACCAAGAUCAUGUUCCAUCAGGAAACAGCCACGUCAUAAUCCAAAUCGAGGGCACGCCUGAACUAAGGCGGAGAGGGAGGAGGUGGAUGCCACCUGCAAUUCCAAACAUAUCAAGCCGCGUUGAACAUACGCUUAGGCAGUUGCGGCGCCAGGUGGCCCCCCGCUCUUUUAAUUUCCCUUUUUUUUUUU